GACUCUCGGCAACGCAUAUCUCGGCUCUUGCAUCGAUGAAGAACGUAGCGAAAUGCGAUACUUGGUGUGAAUUGCAGAAUCCCGUGAACCAUCGAG
rnacentral:rRNA from 1 species